AUAGCGACCUGUCAGGCGUCAGAAAGGUCCUCCUUUGGGUUCUCUUUUGAAUCCUCAUCGAAACGCUUUUCGUUUCGUCUCAAACGGAGUUUCCGUUGAAAUUUUACGACGAAAACAAGUAGGACUCUUCUUAGCUUGCUUCCACUCGCUACAUAGCGAACUGUCAGACCUUCACUCGCUACAUAACGACCUGGCAGGCCUCAGAAAGGUCCUCUUUUGGGUUCUCUUAUGAAUCCUGAUCGAAACGCUUUUUGUUUUGACUCAAUCGGAGUUGCCGUUGAGAUUUUUCGACGAAAACAAGUUAGACUCCUCUAAACUCCUUGGCUUGCUCGUCCUUACCUCCAUCUUUGUGUUCUCCUUCGAAUCUCGGCGAAACAUCUCGUGUGUCGUAUCGAUUGGAGUUACCAUUGAAACUUUAUGAUUAAAAAAAAAAUACGCAAAGACUUGUUUUUCGCAUGGAUUCAAAUUAAUCGUAUAAAACGGCAACAGUCAACUUAACACCUUAGCCGCCUCAACUAUACGAUUUUGUUGAACCUUUUUAUAAAAAUCGAUGUCUUAUCUAAGAAGAAGAUAACAGUCAAGUUCGGAAGAUAUAUGUCAAGUUUUGAAAGAUAAACACCAAUAUCUAAAAUGGCAAACAUACACGAGAACAGGAAGGGGAAAUAAGCAAGCAAAACUGUGAAGAGACAAAACUGCAUCUUCGAGAGAACUUAGAUCUUGCAAACCGAUCUAAACUCUCCGAAAAUCGAGAAACGAUCGCCACGCAUAUCAAGCUCGCUUCCUAAAGAAAGAAAAAACUAGAGACAUGAAUAUCGGCUUAAAACCGAUUCGUUACUAGCAAUUUUCUCGGAACCGACAUAUUCCAAGUCGUCUACGUGGAAACAACCAAAUCACAAUCCAAGCGUCAUCUUUAAAUCAUCCCGGAUUAUCGAUCAUUCCAAACCUCAGAAGAAGAAACGUACACAACCCUUGAAAGUAUCGGUUCAACCGUUGUCUUUCGUAAAAAAAAAAGGGGGAGUAAGUACGUAUAUUAUACUCGUAUACUCCCAAACUUCAAAAACCUUUACAAAUAGUCAAGAAAACGAUUUU